GGUGAACUCCGCUUGCGGAGGAAUCAGUGGCGAACGGGUGAGUAACACGUGGGCAACCUGCCCCCGGCUUCGGGAUAACUCCAAGAAAUUGGGGCUAAUACCGGAUGUGACCGCUGACCGCAUGGUCCGGUGGUGGAAAGGGUUUCCGGCUGGGGAUGGGCCCGCGGCCUAUCAGCUUGUUGGUGGGGUAGUGGCCUACCAAGGCGACGACGGGUAGCCGGCCUGAGAGGGUGACCGGCCACACUGGGACUGAGACACGGCCCAGACUCCUACGGGAGGCAGCAGUGGGGAAUAUUGCGCAAUGGGCGAAAGCCUGACGCAGCGACGCCGCGUGGGGGAUGACGGCCUUCGGGUUGUAAACCUCUUUCAGCUCCGACGAAGCGAUCAGUGACGGUAGGAGCAGAAGAAGCACCGGCCAACUACGUGCCAGCAGCCGCGGUAAUACGUAGGGUGCAAGCGUUGUCCGGAAUUAUUGGGCGUAAAGAGCUCGUAGGCGGUUUGUCGCGUCGGCUGUGAAAACCUGGAGCUCAACUCCAGGCCUGCAGUCGAUACGGGCAGACUCGAGUGUUGCAGGGGAGACUGGAAUUCCUGGUGUAGCGGUGAAAUGCGCAGAUAUCAGGAGGAACACCGGUGGCGAAGGCGGGUCUCUGGGCAACAACUGACGCUGAGGAGCGAAAGCGUGGGGAGCGAACAGGAUUAGAUACCCUGGUAGUCCACGCCGUAAACGUUGGGCGCUAGGUGUGGGGGCCAUUCCACGGUCUCCGUGCCGCAGCUAACGCAUUAAGCGCCCCGCCU
rnacentral:rRNA from 1 species